GUCUUUUUGGGGUUUAUAAAAAGUCUAACCUGCCCACUGAGUUUUAAAUGGCCGCAGUACUCUAACUGUGCAAAGGUAGCAUAAUAAUUAGUCUUUUAAUUGAAGGCUGGAAUGAAUGGUUGGACGAAAUAUAAGCUGUUUCAUAGAAAUUUGUAAUAGAAUUUUAUUUUUUAGUAAAAAAGCUAAAAUUUGUUUAAAAGACGAGAAGACCCUAUAAAGCUUUAUAAUUGUAAAAUUUUAAAUUUAUAAGAUGUGUUUAAGUUAAAAUUUUAUAAUUAUUUUAUUGGGGUGAUAUUAAAAUUUACAAAACUUUUAACUAAAACAACAUUAGUUUAUGAAUAAUUGAUCCACGACUUGUGAUUAUAAAAUUAAGUUACUUUAGGGAUAACAGCGUAAUUUUUUUGGAGAGUUCAUAUCGAUAAAAAAGAUUGCGACCUCGAUGUUGGAUUAAGGAAUAUAUUUAGGUGUAGCUGUUUAAAUGUUAAGUCUGUUCGACUUUUAAUACCUU
rnacentral:rRNA from 1 species